rnacentral:lncRNA from 1 species
UUCACUACUCUGAACCUUACCAGACUUUCUUUAUGCUAGUUACCUGGUUAUCCUUACCUCUAGUUCCCUGAAGAUCUCCAUCUGUGGUUCUCUUCUGCUCCUGGAUCCCGAACCCUCCGUGCACCUACAAAGGAACUAUACAUCAGGACCAGUGUUGGGCUAGUUACUCAAACCAUUGAUUUCUGAAGGGUCCUUCUAGCUCGGAGCCGUGCUUUCAGGCCGCUUCACUCCAUCAAACAGCUGAUAAAAUGGUCCAGAGAGAGACAGACUGCUUUGCCUGAUGUGUAUACCAGGGCUUGUGAAAUUGACCAGAUAAACUCCAAUCACGCUGGCUGUGGAAAAAUUUCCAACCCGACCCUUACGCAGAAACAGUGUCUAUCUGGCCUGAAUAUGAUCAUGUGAUGGUCUGGGAGUCAAAU